UCUUAAAAAUAAAAAAAAAUUUUAAAAAUUAAAAAAAGGUGGGGUGGGGAGGGAGCCACACUCAUUCACAAACAGAUUAAGAAUGUGGUCCAGUAGAUGGUGCCAGCGGGCCGCUGAAGAGCUCCCCUUGCCUUCCAUUCUGAGAGGAAGCAGCCAAGCUUGGUGGCAGCAGAGCCAAAAAGCCAAAGGUUUCAAACAAAUCUGGAGGAAAUGAGCCUCAGACCCCCAGUGGCAGGAAGAGAGAGCUGUGGGCACCCAGGUAAAGCCCUCUCAAAUGGAAUAGGCUGAUUUUUUGCAGCUGAUACACCUAAAUCAAUAUUUGAACUCUUAUUAUUCCUUCGUUCAAUUUCCAUUAAAAAUUAUUCGACGCUUCUCUCUGAUAAAAAAUAAAAAGGAGAAUUUGAGGAAGAAAAUGGAGCCAUGGGCAAAGAAGGAAAAUGGUGACGGCAAGGACCAAGAAUAUUUCCAGUUUCAGUGGGAACCGCCUCCCUUCCCAGCAGGAGCUGCAGGCCAAGGACUGGUCUUCCAGAAAGACCGGUCCUGCACACUUCCCUCUGCACUCCCUCCCUCCCCGCAGAGCAGAUGGAGCUCUGCCAUCCUUUCACGCAACAGGAUUCUGGAGCUGUGGAAAGGUGCCUGAGAACGGAAUCAUUCCUGCCUAGGACUGUCAUGGUUGCCUCUAGUGGCUGCUUCAGGAUGCCUGGUCCAGGAUCUGGUCUUAAGCUGGUGGCUCGGCGUUCCCAAACAGCAGGCAGUGGGGCUGGGACAUGUCCCCAGCAGGCGCCUCUGCAGUGGUGCUGGCUCCAGCUGCCCUCCCAGCCUGGGCGCCUUGGGCCCCAUCACCCCGCGAGAGUCUCACUCAGCAGCUUCAGCUCCUGCUCCCCACUAACAAGAUCUUCUUGGAUUAUUAUGAAAGACUGCUCUUCACAUGUUGAGCAAUCUGCCCAGAAAAUAAAGAUUAUGUGUCUUAUCAAAAUAACCUGUACUGUACGUUGCCCUCGUCAGGUCUUUGAUCACUUAAGAAAGCUAAGUCUUUUCAAUAUGGAAACAACUAAAGCGUUUUUCCUUCUUCCUCCUCCUCCUUCCCCCCAAACUAUGUGACUUCCUGAUUUGCCCUUGAAAUGUUUAAAUUGUCACUCUGGUUGAAUAGAAAACCAAAUAUUAUUUCACAUGAACGCUGAUCUUAUUUAAUCAGGUUUUAAAUCUCUGGAUAUUUUUGAAAACUUAAAGAAGUCAAAUUCUAAAUGAAAACUUUGACUAAGACCCAAUUUGGGGAUUUUUCCAGAGGGUCCCUGGACAAUUUCAAAUAUUGGGAGUGAUGUUAACUAUAAUUAACUAAAUUAUAAUCAGGUCUACGAUAAGUUAAAUUACAUGAGAAGCACUAUCAAACAAAAGUGAUGUUUAGGGGCACCUGGGUGACUCAGUGGGUUGGGCCUCU